rnacentral:rRNA from 1 species
GCAUAUCAAUAAGCGGAGGAAAAGAAACCAACCGGGAUUACCUCAGUAACGGCGAGUGAAGCGGUAACAGCUCAAAUUUGAAAUCUGGCUCCUUCGGAGUCCGAGUUGUAAUUUGUAGAAGAUGCUUUGGGUUGUGGGCUCGGCCUAAGUUCCUUGGAACAGGACGUCAUAGAGGGUGAGAAUCCCGUAUGUGGCCAUGGCCCGCGCCUAUGUAAAGCUCUUUCGACGAGUCGAGUUGUUUGGGAAUGCAGCUCAAAAUGGGUGGUAAAUUUCAUCUAAAGCUAAAUAUGGGCCAGAGACCGAUAGCGCACAAGUAGAGUGAUCGAAAGAUGAAAAGCACUUUGGAAAGAGAGUUAAACAGUACGUGAAAUUGUUGAAAGGGAAGCGCUUGCAACCAGACUUGGGCGCUGCCGAUCACCCCGAGUUCUCUCGGGUGCACUCGACAGCGCACAGGCCAGCAUCGGUUCGGGUGGCUGGAUAAAGGCCGUAGGAAUGUAGCUCUCUUCGGGGAGUGUUAUAGCCCACGGUGCCAUGCAGCCCAGCCGGACCGAGGACCGCGCCUUCGGGCUAGGAUGCUGGCGUAAUGGUUGUAAGCGACCCGUCUUGAAACACGGACCAAGGAGUCUAACAUCUAUGCGAGUGUUUGGGCGUUAAACCCAUACGCGGAAUGAAAGUGAACGUAGGUGAGAACCCCUUUGGGGCGCAUCAUCGACCGAUCCUGAUGUCUUCGGAUGGAUUUGAGUAAGAGCAUAGC